rnacentral:lncRNA from 1 species
UCUUUUUCUCAUUUUCUUCUCCUCUUUUUGGAAAGUAGGGUGGAUGGUUUUAGCCAACCACUUCCAAUGGCAUGACCCCCGACUGUGGGGGUGACCCCUCUUGACACCAGCAAACCCUAUCGAUGCUGACCCUCGACCGCCCGAGCGCAGCCCAUAUCCAAGCAAUGGUGAUCGACACAAGGAUAGAAGAGUGGACUUAUCAACCAUGAAAUCCAACUACCACCAUCUUAAUCACAAGCAAUAGAGACAACUUGGAAAUCAAAAAGGAGAGAAGUAGUCCUUACCUCAUCUCCAAUGAGAAAUCGAUGGUGAUUUGUCAAGGGACAUCAAUGCAAUCUAAGA